CAGCCUGCCGCUUGGAGCAGACUUGGGAGGCCUGCAGCAAGGAGCUAUAUAUGUACCUGAUCCGUACAACUUUGAUCCCCCAUUGCCAGCAAGGGAACGACGUGAUAGCCAGCAACAGGAAAGCCAGGAGUCCCAAGUCCAGUACGAACUACAUUAUGCAGAUAAGAACUAUUUGUGCAACUUGCAUUUUCUGGGGUGACCAGAACUAUAGAAAGUACAAACAUAGCACCAAGGGAGUCCAGGCUGGCAGGAAGAAUGUGAAGACCUAACCUCUUAGGUGGACCUCAGAACGGCAUGCUGAUACUUCAUUAGGAAACCUACCUUCUUCAGGGUUAGGUCUCCUGAACAAGGCAGGUCUCCUAGUGAAACGUUGGCACGCCACUCUCACAUCUGCCUCAAGCUCCCUUUUCACAUAAGCAUAGAAGAUAAUUUUUCAACUGAAAUGUAUCCUCUUUCAGAUGCACAUGUGGAAAUUGCCCCCAGGAGGUCGGGCAAUGCUGCAGGGACAUGCCAAAAAUCACACAAAAAAACUUGGGAAGGUGUGUCACAGAAAAUGAACUUUUUCUGCUCGUAUGUCUGGAUGUGCGACUGCUGAACAUAGCGUACGACCAGCUGAAAUUUUUUCGCCCAACAUAUUUGGAGCCAGCAGCUCGGGAUCGGAACAAACGGUACAGGUACACGGCAUACAGCCAGUUCGUCUGGUGGAUUUGGGGACGACUGGGCAGGUUUCGCCGCGUCAGGCUCCCGUGCUGUGUGGUGGCCAGGAUAAGAAAAGAAUUCCCAUCGACCACAUACACGGGCUUCCACUAUGCUUGAUCGAACCGGGUCCUGUGGGCCAACACCGCUGCUUCCUUGUCUGGCCUUUGUGCAACGCUGCACAGAGGUGGUCGACGAGGACGCGGCCCGUUCGCAGCCACAGCCAGCUGGUAGGUCCGGGAAGCCUUGGCCAACUCCAGGCAGGAAUUGAGGAGCCUCUGGACGUAGUCUGAGUAAGAAAGUGUGAUAGUCAAGCUGCAGCCAAUGUCUGAAUAAAAGUGUCUGUAUUUAC